AUUGAACGCUGGCGGCAUGCCUUACACAUGCAAGUCGAGCGAGACCUUCGGGUCUAGCGGCGGACGGGUGAGUAACGCGUGGGAAUAUGCCCUUUGGUACGGAAUAGCCUCGGGAAACUGAGAGUAAUACCGUAUGUGCCCUUCGGGGGAAAGAUUUAUCGCCAAAGGAUUAGCCCGUGUUGGAUUAGGUAGUUGGUGGGGUAAUGGCCUACCAAGCCGACGAUCCAUAGCUGGUUUGAGAGGAUGAUCAGCCACACUGGGACUGAGACACGGCCCAGACUCCUACGGGAGGCAGCAGUGGGGAAUCUUAGACAAUGGGGGAAACCCUGAUCUAGCCAUGCCGCGUGAUCGAUGAAGGCCUUAGGGUUGUAAAGAUCUUUCAGUGGGGAAGAUAAUGACUGUACCCACAGAAGAAGCCCCGGCUAACUCCGUGCCAGCAGCCGCCGUAAUAC
rnacentral:rRNA from 1 species